CACGUAGGGCGCAAGCGUUGUCCGGAAUUAUUGGGCGUAAAGAGCUCGUAGGCGGUCUGUUGCGUCCGCUGUGAAAACUCGGGGCUUAACCCCGAGCCUGCAGUGGAUACGGGCAGACUAGAGGUAGGUAGGGGAGAAUGGAAUUCCCGGUGUAGCGGUGAAAUGCGUAGAUAUCGGAAGGAACGCCGGUGGCGAAAGCGACGUGCUGGACCUCUUCUGACGCUGAGGCGCGAAAGCUAGGGGAGCAAACGGG
rnacentral:rRNA from 1 species